AGAAGAAGCUCCGGCUAACUUCGUGCCAGCAGCCGCGGUAAUACGAAGGGGGCUAGCGUUGUUCGGAAUUACUGGGCGUAAAGCGCGCGUAGGCGGAUUGGAAAGUUGGGGGUGAAAUCCCAGGGCUCAACCCUGGAACUGCCUCCAAAACUAUCAGUCUAGAGUUCGAGAGAGGUGAGUGGAACUCCGAGUGUAGAGGUGAAAUUCGUAGAUAUUCGGAAGAACACCAGUGGCGAAGGCGGCUCACUGGCUCGAUACUGACGCUGAGGUGCGAAAGUGUGGGGAGCAAACAGGAUUAGAUACCCUGGUAGUCCACGCCGUAAACGAUGGAUGCUAGCCGC
rnacentral:rRNA from 1 species